UGGGGGAUAUUGCACAAUGGAGGAAACUCUGAUGCAGCGACGCCGCGUGAGGGAAGAAGGUUUUCGGAUUGUAAACCUCUGUCUUCGGGGACGAAACAAAUGACGGUACUCGAGGAGGAAGCCACGGCUAACUACGUGCCAGCAGCCGCGGUAAUACGUAGGUGGCAAGCGUUGUCCGGAAUUACUGGGUGUAAAGGGAGCGCAGGCGGAACUGCAAGUUGGGUGUUUAAUCUACGGGCUCAACCCGUAUCAGCAUUCAAAACUGUGGUUCUUGAGUAAUGCAGAGGUAGGCGGAAUUCCCGGUGUAGCGGUGGAAUGCGUAGAUAUCGGGAGGAACACCAGUGGCGAAGGCGGCCUACUGGGCAUCAACUGACGCUGAGGCUCG
rnacentral:rRNA from 1 species